AGCCCGUUUAAAAGUUUGGAUAAAUAAUUGCGGUAACAUGACCAUAAUGAAUUACAAUGAAAAUAUACUCCGUAACAGAUACCUCUGUAGUGAGCAUUUCGACAAAAAAUAUAUCCAAAAUGAAAGUGGACAAAGAAAGAGGCUGUCGAAAUUUGCAAUACCUUUGCACUAUAAAGAUGAUGAAUGUAGCAGCAGGUCACAUUCACCAGUUCCAUCAACAUCAAAAGUGCAAACUUCGUCACCUCUGAAAGUAAUGACUCCUAAAAAGUUAUAUAGCAACAAAAUGGUAAAAGAAAGGCUUCAACCCAAGUCACCUAGUGAAACCACAGUAGAUUUUAGUACACCUAGAAGAAGAAAAAGGACUUCAGUUGAUAAUGAUACACCAAGGUGUAAAAAAUUAAAAAUUAGUAUAAAAAAUUCAAGUAAAUUAUUAAAAAAA